UACAGAGACCUCAAGCGUUUAUCCGGAAUCAUUGGGCGUAAAGCGUACCGAUCGGUGGUUAAGAAAGUCAGAAAGUGGAAAUCUCUCAGCUUAACUGGGAGACUGUCUUUUGAAACUUCUUAAACUCGGAGGGGCAAAGAGGAACGUCUGGAACGAACGGUGUAGUAGUAGAAAUGCGUUGAUAUCGUCGGAACACCAAUAGCGAAGGCAGGC
rnacentral:rRNA from 1 species